rnacentral:rRNA from 1 species
CACGAACGUUAGCGGCGCGCCUAAUACAUGCAAGUCGCACGAGAAAGGGCUUCGGCCCCAGUAAAGUGGCGCACGGGUGAGUAACACGUGGGUAAUCUGCCUUCGAGCGGGGGAUAACAUUCCGAAAGGAGUGCUAAUACCGCAUAAGACCACGGCUCCGAAAGGAGCAGCGGUCAAAGCUGGCCUCUAUACAUAAGCUAGCACUUGAGGAUGAGCCCGCGGCGCAUCAGCUAGUUGGUGAGGUAAUGGCUCACCAAGGCGAAGACGCGUAGCUGGUCUGAGAGGAUGAUCAGCCACACUGGAACUGAGACACGGUCCAGACUCCUACGGGAGGCAGCAGUGGGGAAUCUUGCGCAAUGGGCGAAAGCCUGACGCAGCGACGCCGCGUGAGUGAUGAAGGCCUUCGGGUUGUAAAGCUCUGUGGGGAGAGAAGAAUAAGUGCGGGCUAAUACUCCGCAUGAUGACGGUAUCUCCUUAGCAAGCCCCGGCUAACUUCGUGCCAGCCGCCGCCGUAAAAC